GACGAACCACACAAACGUUAUUCGGAAUUACUGGGCUUAAAGGGUGCGUAGGCGGCGCGGAAAGUAGGGUGUGAAAUCCCUCGGCUCAACCGAGGAAUUGCGCCCUAAACUACCGUGCUCGAGGGAGAUAGAGGUGAGCGGAACUUAGGGUGGAGCGGUGAAAUGCGUUGAUAUCCUAAGGAACACCGGUGGCGAAAGCGGCUCACUGGAUCUCUUCUGACGCUGAGGGACGAAAGCUAGGGGAGCGAACGGG
rnacentral:rRNA from 1 species